rnacentral:rRNA from 1 species
GACGAACGCUGGCGGCGUGCCUAAUACAUGCAAGUCGAACGCACGAAGUUGAAGAGCUUGCUCUUUAACCAAGUGAGUGGCGGACGGGUGAGUAACACGUGGGUAACCUGCCCAUUAGAGGGGGAUAACAUUCGGAAACGGAUGCUAAUACCGCAUAGUUUCAGGAAUCGCAUGAUUCUUGAAGGAAAGGUGGCUUCGGCUACCACUAAUGGAUGGACCCGCGGCGUAUUAGCUAGUUGGUGAGGUAAUGGCUCACCAAGGCAAUGAUACGUAGCCGACCUGAGAGGGUGAUCGGCCACACUGGGACUGAGACACGGCCCAGACUCCUACGGGAGGCAGCAGUAGGGAAUCUUCCGCAAUGGACGAAAGUCUGACGGAGCAACGCCGCGUGAGUGAAGAAGGUUUUCGGAUCGUAAAACUCUGUUGUUAAAGAAGAACAAGGAUGAGAGUAACUGCUCAUCCCCUGACGGUAUUUAACCAGAAAGCCACGGCUAACUACGUGCCAGCAGCCGCGGUAAUACGUAGGUGGCAAGCGUUGUCCGGAUUUAUUGGGCGUAAAGCGAGCGCAGGCGGUUCUUUAAGUCUGAUGUGAAAGCCCCCGGCUCAACCGGGGAGGGUCAUUGGAAACUGGAGAACUUGAGUGCAGAAGAGGAGAGUGGAAUUCCACGUGUAGCGGUGAAAUGCGUAGAUAUGUGGUGGAACACCAGUGGCGAAGGCGACUCUCUGGUCUGUAACUGACGCUGAGGCUCGAAAGCGUGGGGAGCAAACAGG